CACGCAUGACACACUGCAUAUCAAUAAGCGGAGGAAAAGAAACUAACAAGGAUUCCCCUAGUAACGGCGAGUGAAGCGGGAAGAGCUCAAAUUUGAAAUCUUCAAGGUUUGACCUUGACGAAUUGUAGUUUAAAGAAGUGUUUUCGGUUAGAGGAGUAGUAAAAGUUCUUUGGAAUAGGACAUCAUAGAGGGUGAGAAUCCCGUAUUUGACUAUUCUUUCUAGCUUUGUGAUACACUUUCAAAGAGUCGGAUUGUUUGGGAAUGCAGUCCAAAAUGGGUGGUAAAUUUCAUCUAAAGCUAAAUAUUGGCGAGAGACCGAUAGCGAACAAGUACCGUGAGGGAAAGAUGAAAAGAACUUUGAAAAGAGAGUUAAACAGUACGUGAAAUUGUCAAAAGGGAAGCGUUUGACACCAGUGUUGUUUUUCCGAAAAUCAAUUAAAAAUUGAUUCAUGCUAGGUUGUAUUGACCUUAUCAGCUUGCAAUUUAGUUUUGGGUCUCUUUUUGAUGCACUUUUCGGUUAACAAGUCAACAUCAAUUUCCUUUGCUGUAAAAAGGUAAGAGGAAGGUGGCUUCAACUUCGGUUGAAGUGUUUAUAGCCUUUUAUCUCUGCAGUCGGGGAGAUUGAGGUCUGCAGCGUAGAUCCUUCGGGGCUAGAUACAUUUAUGCUAAGUUAUAGCUUUUCAUAGACAACUUGUUGACUAUGUUAGUCAUUGUAGCUUACUCGCUAAGUGCUAUUUUACCUACGCUUAGGAUGUUGAGCGCAUGUCUCUCUCU
rnacentral:rRNA from 1 species